AAGAUCAUGACCCAGGCCAAAAUCAAGAGCUAGCCACCGAGGUACCUCCUACAUUUUACUUUUUGUAUAUGGACUGUGGUCUUCUGUAUUAUUUAUUGCUGUGUAAAGAUUACCUAAAACUUAGUAGUUUACAAUAGCAAAUGCUUAUCUGAGAGUGGAGAGACAUCAGUGUUCUUGAUUCUCACUUGGCAAGUCUCAGUUCCUUGAUGGCUCUUGGCUAAAGACCAGUUCUUCACCGUGUGAACAUAGGCUGCCUGAGUGUCCCCACAACGUGACAGCUGGCUUCCACCAGAAGCAGUGAUCUAAGAAAGAAAUGCCAAGACAACAUGUAGGUGGGCACAUACAGGGAUGUGAAUACCAAGGGUCGGAGAAUGUUGGGGAUCCUCCUGGAGGUUGACUACCACAUCUGACUCUUUUUUUUUUUUUAAUUGCUUCAGUUUGUUGAGUCAAGAGUUUAGUAUUUGACCCUCAGGCCAGAUAAUUAGAAGUAUGAGAAUAUGGAUCCAAAUGUGCUCUCUUUUUUCUAAGGUGCACAGUUUCUUGCUGGUGAAUAUAUCAGUUCCAUAAAUGAUGCUAUAGUCUUUUUUGAAGUUUUCUAGGGAGUGUAUAAGAAAGCUCAUUUUAUAGCUAGAAUACUCUGCCUUGAUCAUAUAUAUUUUUUGGACCCAUUUCCCCUUUCCCAGUUCUUCUAGGUGGAAGUGGUUGGAGAAGCUGGAGGUAGACUGUAUAUAGAAGUACCUGUGCUAUUUUGCCUGCAGUGCACACUGACUUAGUGGAAAUUCCUGUUUUAAGUUUUUCAAGGAAUGUAGUCCACAAAUACUUAAAGGUACUUACUCAAAUAUUUGACAUAGGAUGGAAUGAAGGUACAAAUAUGCUGCAGCAGCUUUAAAGCAAUUUGUCCUUUUCCUCAAAAGCUAGAUAUUUAUCCACUAUGGUGAGUAUACUUUUCUUUCUUUUCUAAGUAGGUUCCAUGCUGGGCGUUGAUCCCAGGACCUUGAGAUCAAGACCUGAGCUGAGAGAUCAAGCAUCAGACACUUAAAACGGACUGAAGUACCCAGGCGCCCCAUACUUCCUUUCUGUUGCUCUGCUGCCUCCAUGGUCUUCUGUCCCUCUUAAUGAGCAAAAUAUGGACUUUACCAAGCAGUCAGAAUCCCCAUUAUUGGCAGAUUUCUAAUUAGGGCUCAAGAUUUUAAUCUUUUGAGCCUUUUCCCUUUAUCACUGCUUAAAAGUUGUUAGGAGGGGACAAUUCUCCCCCUUUUCCUUUAAAGCUCACAUGCUUCUAAUGAUUGGAGAUAUUGUCAAAUAACAAAAAGCAUUACAUAUAAAGAUGUAACCAGUUUUGGAAUGUAUUUGUAUUAAGCUAUGAUUGGCCUUUCCUUGGCAAGCUUAAUGUUGAGAAUAUAUUUCUAAGUUAGCAUAAGGUAAUCUAUGCAAAGUAGGUAAAUAACAUCCUUGAAAUUAUCUUUGGUAUGAGUUUUUUUCCCCAAUCAUAGUAAAAUUGGAGGUCUUAACCUGUUUAUUGAGAAUUCAAAUUUAUAGAAAUGUGCAUUUAUUGUGUGUUCUUUAAAAGGGGCUAAAUCAUGAAAACCUUAUGAUUAAAGCUUAAGCUGAAAAUAGGAAAAAAAUACAAAUGUCCAAUGAUUAAACUUUUUCCACUGCUGUUCACAUCAUGAUUUGUUGUGAUUAAUGUAUGUGGAUGAGGACAUACGGAAAAAAAAUCGUAGUGGGAGGAAGGAAAGUAUAGAUGGGAUGUAGUUUCUGUGUGUUGAAUUACUUAUUAGUGCUUUCCCUUUUAGGAAUGAAAUUGAAGGGUGUUUUUCUUAACAUCGUUUUGUCAGAUUCAUCUGAUAAAUGUGAACGUUUAUAGAGAAGACAUAAAAGUUGGUGAAAAGCUUUUUGUUUAUAUGCCUUAAUGAAAAGAUGUACAAAAUACAGGUAGUCUUUACUUUGCACCGUUCCAGUAUGCAUGAAGAUCAGUUUUUACAGUGAAGUAACACCAAUUCCCCUACAACAUGGUUGAAAUUUCAGUUACUACGAUAGUAACCAAAUUGUUGCAUAAGCUUUUCUGAAGCUCUUUAUUCCACCAAUGAUUAUAUAUAUAAAAGAUG